AGUGAACGCUGGCGGUAGGCCUAACACAUGCAAGUCGAACGGCAGCACAGUAAGAGCUUGCUCUUACGGGUGGCGAGUGGCGGACGGGUGAGGAAUACAUCGGAAUCUACUUUUUCGUGGGGGAUAACGUAGGGAAACUUACGCUAAUACCGCAUACGACCUACGGUUGAAAGCAGGGGAUCUUCGGACCUUGCGCGAUUGAAUGAGCCGAUGUCGGAUUAGCUAGUUGGCGGGGUAAAGGCCCACCAAGGCGACGAUCCGUAGCUGGUCUGAGAGGAUGAUAAGCCACACUGGAACUGAGAAACGGUCAAGACUCCUACGGGAGGCAGCAGUGGGGAAUAUUGGACAAUGGGGGCAAGCCUGAUACAGCCAUACCGCGUGGGUGAAGAAGGACUUCGGGUUGUAAAGACCUUUUGUUGGGAAAGAAAAGCAGCAGGUUAAUACCCCGCUGUUCUGACGGUACCCAAAGAAUAAGCACCGGCUAACUUCGUG
rnacentral:rRNA from 1 species